rnacentral:rRNA from 1 species
AUUGAACGCUGGCGGCAGGCCUAACACAUGCGAGUCGAGCGGAUGAAGGGAGCUUGCUCCUGGAUUCAGCGGCGGACGGGUGAGUAAUGCCUAGGAAUCUGCCUGGUCGUGGGGGAUAACGUCCGGAAACGGGCGCUAAUACCGCAUACGUCCUGAGGGAGAAAGUGGGGGAUCUUCGGACCUCACGCUAUCAGAGGAGCCUAGGUCGGAUUAGCUAGUUGGUGGGGUAAAGGCCUACCAAGGCGACGAGCCGUAACUGGUCUGAGAGGAUGAUCAGUCACCCUGGAAGUGAGACAGGGUCCAGACUACUACGGGAGGCAGCAGUGGGGAAUAUUGGACAAUGGGCGAAAGCAUGAUCCAGCCAUGCCGAGUGUGUGAAGAAGGUCUUCGGAUUGUAAAGCACUUUAAGUUGGGAGGAAGGGCAGUAAGUUAAUACCUUGCUGUUUUGACGUUACCAACAGAAUAAGCACCGGCUAACUUCGUG